UACGAAGGGGGCUAGCGUUGCUCGGAAUCACUGGGCGUAAAGGGUGCGUAGGCGGGUCUUAAGUCAGGGGUGAAAUCCUGGAGCUCAACUCCAGAACUGCCUUUGAUACUGAGGAUCUUGAGUUCGGGAGAGGUGAGUGGAACUGCGAGUGUAGAGGUGAAAUUCGUAGAUAUUCGCAAGAACACCAGUGGCGAAGGCGGCUCACUGGCCCGAUACUGAUGCUGAGGCACGAAAGCGUGGGGAGCAAACAGG
rnacentral:rRNA from 1 species